rnacentral:lncRNA from 1 species
UGUGUCACUGUGUCACUGUGUGUCACUGUGUGUCACUGUGUGUCACUGUGUCACUGUGUCACUGUGUCACUGUGUGUCACUGUCACUGUCACUGUGUCACUGUGUGUCACUGUGUCACUGUGUCACUGUCACUGUGUCACUGUGUGUCACUGUCACUGUCACUGCGUCACUGUCACUGUGUGUCACUGUCACUGUGUCACUGUCACUGUGUCACUGUGUGCUGUGUCCCUGUGUCCCUGUGUCACUGUGUCAUUGUGUCACUGUGGUGUCCCCUGAUGACCCCAUGUCCCCCACGAUGUCCUCCUGAUGUCCCUGUGGUGUCCCCAGGUGUCACUCACCAUGGUUGAAUCCUCCCAGCUCAGGAUCAGGAACCUGUGACGUUCCCCAGGUGUCCCCAGGUGUGUCCCCAGGUGUCCCCAGGUGUGUCCCCAGGUGUCCCCAUGUCCCCCCAGGUGUCCCCAUGUCCCCAGGUGUCACUCACCAUGGUGGAGUCCUUCUGGCUCAGGAUCAGGAACCCGUGACGUUCCCCAGGUGUCCCCAGGUGUGUCCCAGGUGUCCCCAGGUGUAUCUCAGGUGUCCCCAGGUGUGUCUCAGGUGUCCCCAGGUGUGUCCCAGGUGUGUCCCAGGUGUCCCCAGGUGUAUCUCAGGUGUCCCCAGGUGUGUCCCCAUGUCCCCCCAGGUGUCCCCAGGUGUCCCCAGGUGUCACUCACCAUGGUGGAGUCCUCCCGGCUCAGGAUCAGGAACCCGUGACGUUCCCCGUCCUCCUCGGAACUUUCCGGAGCCGUCGCUGCCGCCUCGGGCUCUGCGCUGGUCCCUGGGGCCACCUCCGGCUGUGGGGACAGGGACAGGGUGGGGACACUGUGGGGACACUGUGGGACACCGUGGGACACCAUGGGGACAGGGACAGGGACAGGGACAGGGUGGGGACACUGUGGGACACCAUGGGGACAGGGACAGGGACACAGUGGGGACACUGUGGGGACACUGUGGGACACGGUGGGGACAGGGACAGGGACAGGGACACAGUGGGACACCGUGGGGACAGGGACACAGUGGGGACAGGGACAGUGUGGGGACAGGGACAGGGAGAGCGUGGGGCCAGGGACACACUGGGGACAGGGACACACUGGGGACAGGGACAGCAUGGGGACAGGGACACAGGGACACAGGGACACACUGGGGACAGGGACACAGGGACAGGGACACACUGGGGACAGGGACAGCGAGGGGACAGGGACACACUGGGGACAGGGAUGGGGACAGGGAUAGGGACACAGGGACAGCGUGGGGCCAGGGACACUGUGGGGACAGGGACACUGUGACAAGGGGACACACGGACAUGGAAGGACCUGGGGACACAGAGACAGGGACAGGAACACGGUGACACGAGGGGACACAGGAAGGUGACACAGUGACACAGGGGAGGGGACACGGUGACACGAGGGGACAUGGGGAGGGGACACGGUGACACAGUGACAUGAGGUGACAUCAGGUGAUACAUGGCAACACACAGUGACACAAGGUGAGGUGACAUACAGUGACACACGGUGACACACAGUGACACACAGUGACACAGUGACACACAGUGACAGUGACACACGGUGACACAGGUGACACACAAUGACACACAGUGACACACAGUGACACAGUGACACAGUGACACACAGUGAAACAGUGACACACAAUGACACACAGUGACACACAGUGACACACAGUGACAGUGACACAGUGACACACAGUGACACAGUCACACGCAGUCACACACAGUGACACACAGUGACACACGGUGAGGUGACACACAGUGACACACACGGUGACACAGUGACACACAGUGACACAGUGACACAGAGUGACAGUGACACACGGUGACACAGUGACACACGGUGACAGUGACACACAGUGACACACGGUGACACACACGGUGACACACACGGUGACACGGUGACACACCUGCUGGCGCGGCGGGGGCGCGGUGACCGUCCACAUGUCGUAACAGCCGGGGAGCUCAAACGUGGUGACAACCUGCGGCCGGA